rnacentral:rRNA from 1 species
UGGGGAAUAUUGGACAAUGGGGGCAACCCUGAUCCAGCGAUGCCGCGUGUGUGAAGAAGGCCUGCGGGUUGUAAAGCACUUUCAGUGGGGAGGAGGAUUCAUAGGUUAAGAGCUAAUGAAUUGGACGUUACCCACAGAAGAAGCACCGGCUAACUCCGUGCCAGCAGCCGCGGUAAUACGGAGGGUGCGAGCGUUAAUCGGAAUUACUGGGCGUAAAGGGUGCGUAGGCGGUUUAAUAAGUUAAGUGUGAAAGUCCUGGGCUUAACCUGGGGAAGUCAUUUAAGACUGUUAGACUAGAGUAUGGGAGAGGGUAGUGGAAUUUCCGGUGUAGCGGUGAAAUGCGUAGAGAUCGGAAGGAACAUCAGUGGCGAAGGCGGCUACCUGGCCUAAUACUGACGCUGAGGCACGAAAGCAUGGGGAGCAAACAGG